rnacentral:rRNA from 1 species
UGAACGCUAGCGACAGGCUUAACACAUGCAAGUCGAGGGGUAACAGGGUAGCAAUACCGCUGACGACCGGCGCACGGGUGAGUAACGCGUAUGCAACCUGCCUAUAACUGGGGAAUAGCUCCCUGAAAGGGAAUUAACACCGCAUAACACUAUUGAUUCGCAUGGAUUGGUAGUUAAAUGUAGCGAUACAGGUUAUAGAUGGGCAUGCGUGACAUUAGCUAGUUGGUGAGGUAACGGCUCACCAAGGCUACGAUGUCUAGGGGUUCUGAGAGGAAGGUCCCCCACACUGGUACUGAGACACGGACCAGACUCCUACGGGAGGCAGCAGUGAGGAAUAUUGGUCAAUGGGCGCAAGCCUGAACCAGCCAUGUCGCGUGCAGGAAGACUGCCCUAUGGGUUGUAAACUGCUUUUAUAGUAGAAGAAACACAUCUACGAGUAGAUGUCUGCCAGUAUACUAUGAAUAAGCAUCGGCUAACUCCGUG